UAGCGUAGGUGGCGAGGUAAGUCAGGUGUGAAAUUUCGGAGCUCAACUCCGAAACUGCAUUCGAUACUGCCUUGCUUGAGGACUGGAGAGGAGACUGGAAUUUACGGUGUAGCAGUGAAAUGCGUAGAGAUCGUAAGGAAGACCAGUGGCGAAGGCGGGUCUCUGGACAGUUCCUGACACUGAGGCACGAAAGGGCUAGGGAAGGCAAAACG
rnacentral:rRNA from 1 species